rnacentral:rRNA from 1 species
AGAGUUUGAUCCUGGCUCAGGAUGAACGCUAGCUACAGGCUUAACACAUGCAAGUCGNGGGGAAACGACAUCGAAAGCUUGCUUUUGAUGGUCGUCGACCGGCGCACGGGUGAGUAACGCGUAUCCAACCUGCCCAUCACUUGGGGAUAACCUUGCGAAAGUAAGACUAAUACCCAAUGAUAUCUCUAGAAGACAUCUGAAAGAGAUUAAAGAUUUAUCGGUGAUGGAUGGGGAUGCGUCUGAUUAGCUUGUUGGCGGGGUAACGGCCCACCAAGGCAACGAUCAGUAGGGGUUCUGAGAGGAAGGUCCCCCACAUUGGAACUGAGACACGGUCCAAACUCCUACGAGAGGCAGCA